CUAAGGAGCUAACCAAUUAUUGGUUGCCCGUUUCUGUCACGAGUGUUGGCAGGCGGGUUGCUCAUGGGUGGAAUAUCAAUGAACUCAAUACCGGAAAAACAGAUACAGCUCAUGUUGUGUUUGGUGGUAUUGGCUGUGGCUGCAUGGUGUUCAUGCUUUCUUAGUACGCGUUUGCUUCUCCUUUGGGGGUUGUGGGUGUUGGAAUGAGGGUGUGGGGGCCAGGUGGUUUGUAUGGUUUGGCAUGCUGUUGGGUUUUGAGGCAACAAGCCCCCUUUUGUUGAGGGGUUUGGUGUUUCAGUGUUUGUCCUGUGUCUUUGCACGGUCAUCGUGAUGGUUCGCUCUUUAGGGGGUGGGUUGUUGGUGGUUUGUGUGGGGGUGUGGGGUUGUUGUUUGGGAACUGUAUAGUGAACGCGAGCAUCUUAUAAGAUGACCAUGUUAGAGAGCCUUUUGGGGUUUUUUGGUGUGGUUGUUUUGUGAUUUUGUUGAUUGUUUUAUAGCUCAAACUUGAGAACUUGUUUUGUG
rnacentral:misc_RNA from 1 species